rnacentral:rRNA from 1 species
AUUGAACGCUGGCGGCAGGCUUAACACAUGCAAGUCGAACGAGUGGCGGACGGGUGAGUAAUGUCUGGGAACCUGCCUGAUGGCGGGGGAUAACUACUGGAAACGGUAGCUAAUACCGCAUACCCUUGGAUGUGCCAAUAUGGGAUUAGCUCGUAGGUGGGGUAAAGGCUCACCUAGGCGACGAUCCCUAGCUGGUCUGCGAGGAUGACCAGCCAACCUGGAACGGAGACACGGUCCAGACUCCUACGGGAGGCAGCAGUGGGGAAUUUUGGACAAUGGGCGCAAUCCUGAUGCAGCCAGCCCGCGUGUAUGAAGAAGGCCUUCGGGUUGGAAAGUACUUUCAGCGGGGAGGCGGUACCCGCAGAAGAAGCACCGGCUAACUCCGUGCCAGCAGCCGCGGUAAUUC